GAUGAACGCUGGCGGCGUGCUUAACACAUGCAAGUCGAACGGAAAGGCCCAAGCUUGCUUGGGUACUCGAGUGGCGAACGGGUGAGUAACACGUGGGUGAUCUGCCCUGCACUUCGGGAUAAGCCUGGGAAACUGGGUCUAAUACCGGAUAGGACCACUUCUUGGAUGUUGUGGUGGAAAGUUUUUUCGGUGUGGGAUGAGCUCGCGGCCUAUCAGCUUGUUGGUGGGGUAAUGGCCUUCCAAGGCGUCGACGGGUAGCCGGCCUGAGAGGGUGUACGGCCACAUUGGGACUGAGAUACGGCCCAGACUCCUACGGGAGGCAGCAGUGGGGAAUAUUGCACAAUGGGCGCAAGCCUGAUGCAGCGACGCCGCGUGGGGGAUGACGGCCUUCGGGUUGUAAACUCCUUUCGCUAGGGACGAAGCGUUUUGUGACGGUACCUGGAGAAGAAGCACCGGCUAACUACGUG
rnacentral:rRNA from 1 species